rnacentral:sRNA from 1 species
CUUUUGCGUAAGGGAUUGCAGCGGUAUCCUUUAUUUUUUUCUUUCAAAAAAUAAAGAUGAAGCCAAAAGCCCGACCCAGU